rnacentral:rRNA from 1 species
ACGGGUGAGGAAUACAUCGGAAUCUACUUUUUCGUGGGGGAUAACGUAGGGAAACUUACGCUAAUACCGCAUACGACCUACGGGUGAAAGCAGGGGAUCUUCGGACCUUGCGCGAUUGAAUGAGCCGAUGUCGGAUUAGCUAGUUGGCGGGGUAAAGGCCCACCAAGGCGACGAUCCGUAGCUGGUCUGAAAGGAUGAUCAGCCACACUGGAACUGAGACACGGUCCAGACUCCUACGGGAGGCAGCAGUGGGGAAUAUUGGACAAUGGGCGCAAGCCUGAUCCAGCCAUACCGCGUGGGUGAAGAAGGCCUUCGGGUUGUAAAGCCCUUUUGUUGGGAAAGAAAUCCAGCCGGCUAAUACCUGGUUGGGAUGACGGUACCCAAAGAAUAAGCACCGGCUAACUUCGUGCCAGCAGCCGCGGUAAUACGAAGGGUGCAAGCGUUACUCGGAAUUACUGGGCGUAAAGCGUGCGUAGGUGGUUGUUUAAGUCUGUUGUGAAAGCCCUGGGCUCAACCUGGGAACUGCAGUGGAAACUGGACAACUAGAGUGUGGUAGAGGGUAGCGGAAUUCCCGGUG